rnacentral:lncRNA from 1 species
GGGAAGCAAAAUGUUUCAGAUGGGAGGGAGCACCGCAAAGGGAAAUGACUAGAAGUUUAGUAAAAACACAGGCUGUGAAGCAUGCACCAGAAGUGCAAAUGGGUCCUCGGUGACCCCAUUGAGAGAAGUUUUAGGGGAGUGCUGGGGGCUGACACUAGUUUUUAGUGGAUUAAGAAAUCCUGGGAGAGAGGAGUAGAGACUAUUCUUUUAAGAAACGUGAUAGUGACAGGGAAGAGAAGGAAUAGUGAGCUGAGGAAAUGCAGGAUCAUAAAAGUGGGUUUAGGACAGCAGCAGCUGGACAUCUGUGUAUGCUGAAAUGAACCCACUGGAAAACAGGUGCUGAUGAAGGAGGUGCCGGCUCUCAGAAGAGGCAGGAGGCCCAGAACCACCCCAGGUCUUCCCAGCGCUCCUGCUGCUGUGCCGAGUCUCUCUGACCCAGAAAUAUUUCUACUUUGGAAGAGUCUACUAAGCUGUGCUGUAUAGCUAUCUGUGAAAUUGAGCUGAAAAAUUCAAAGAAACACUCAGAAAAUUCAUUUUCUCUGUAAGGAUAUCAAGGUAAGUUUAACAUGCCAAGAGCCUGGGCCUUCCCCCUUCCAAAUAUUAUCUUAUUUUCACCUGACUUCUCCCCCACCAGAAUGUAACCUCCAAGAGGAUAGUAACAUUGUUUUGUACUCUGUGCCCAGAACAGUGCACGGCAUGUAGCAGGUGCUCAAUAAAUGGAUUAAAUUCUGUAAUCCCAGCACUUUGGGAGGCCGAGGUGGGCAGAUCACUUGAGGCCAGGAGUUUGAGACCAGCCUGGCCAACGUGGUGCAACCUCGUCUUUAUUAAAAAUACAAAAAAUUAGCCGGGCAUGGUGGUGCCUGCCUGUGGUCCCAGCUACUCAGGAGGCUGAGGCAGGAGAAUAGCUUGAACCUGGGAGGCGGAGGUUGCAUGAGCAGAGAUUGUGCCACUGCACUCCAGCCUGGGCAACAGAGCGAGACUCUGUCUCACAUAAAUAAACUAAUUAAUUAAUGCAUUAAAUUAUUGAAGGCCCUUGGGCACCCCAGGCCUUCAAUAAUUUAAUGCAUUUAUUGAGCAUCUACGAUCUCAUCUAACCCCUAUAAUCCUAGGCAGUUAACAGUUUAGGAAGGGGAGAUUCUCAGAGGUGAAACACCACCCCUCCCAUCCCCUCAUCCUCAUUUAAUCAAAUUGCCAGUAAGGGGAAAGCCCCCGAGUUUCGAGCUGGGCUUCCCACAUGUCAUGGAGUUCAGAAAUGCCUCUAUCAGUUUAUCAGGUGCUCACUCCUGUGAAACUGAUUCAUGCUAACGGAUUCACUCUGACAAGAAUAUCCCCGAGAAGAGAAAGCGAAUGUAGUGAUUUACAUUCAAGCAUAUACAGCUGCCAAGGAGCUGAAACGUUCUGCCCUGUCGGACAGCUCAGUCUGUCCCCAGUAGAAAGAGUUCACUGAGGCUGCCAAGCAGUCGCCAGCUUGGCUUGGAGCCUGCACAGAGUCGAUAGCCUCAGGGAGGCCAUGAACAAGCUCUGUGAACCAGAAACCCAGAAGACCGAGUGCAGCUGGCCAGGCAGGAUCCCCGCCUGCUCUAGGGACACAGCUGCCACUCUCCAGCUCACCCAGAGAGCCAGCCACCGGCCCCCUGCAACCCUCUACCUUCUCUUUUGAGAAUGAUUGCUUAUUGACUGAAUGGGUCACCUCCAUUCCCUCUCAUUCAUGGUUUCCAUGGACUUUCCUUUUUCUUUUCUUUUUUUUUUUUUUUUUUUGAGACAGAGUCUCACUCUGUUGCCCAGGCUGGAGUGUAGUGGCGUGAUCUUGGCUCACUGCAACCUCUUCCUCCCGGGUUCAAGCGAUUCCCCCGCCUCAGCCUCUGGAGUAGCUGGGAAUACAGGUGCGCGCCACCAUGCCCAGUAAUUUUUUGUUGUUGUUGUAUAUUUAUUAGAGAUGGAGUUUCAUCAUGUUGGCCAGGCUGGUCUCGAACUCCUGACCUCAAGUGAUCCACCCGCCUCGGCCUCCCAAAGUGUUGGGAUUACAGGCGUGAGCCACUGUGCCCGGCCUCCAUGGAUUUUCUUAGUCAAUUGUUUGUUGUUGACAAGGCAUAGCAGGAAGUCACCUUGCAAUUCUGACCAUGUUUGGGGACAGCCACCUUUCUGAAUCCAAGCAUGUCUUUGGGUCUCUGCUUGCUUAAGCCACUGUGUGUGGGGAUGUAUAAACUUCUACCUGUGGCCUAAGUUUUGGGGUCUUACAGUUCACUGUUCCCGGGAGCUACAAGACCUGGGCAUCAAAACACAGAAUAAAUAUGAUGAAGGAAGAGAAUUCAAAACCACUUUGGGAGGAAACCCCUGGUAGAAGGCUAGGCUAGCACUGUUGCUUGUGACAUUGACAGUCCAAGAAUCAGAGAAGGAUCCAGGCCUCCAAGAGCUUCUUUGGCAAAUGGGGUCCCUUACUGCUAGUACAGACCAGAAAGUACAUGACUUUAUUUUAUUUCUACUACUCAGUGGCUUAUUUUAAAGCACAACGGGAAAAAAAAAAAAAAGGAAAAGAGAAAAAAAGAAAUCCAAUUCUCAAUGCCUAAGCCAGAGCGGAGUAACCACCAACAAAACAGCUGUUAACAUGGCUGACGCAUGUUCCUGUUAACUGCUUUAGUCAAGUUAAAGGCCUGGCAAGGGAGAGAUUCUGGCUGGCUUAGCAAGGAGAGAGAUUUCUGAGGUAGCCACCACAGAUGGUAGCAGAUGUCACGCAGCCUCAGAGCAGAAGCCACCAGAGACUUCACUGUCUUGGAGCUGAGCAAAAAAGCUGAGAAACACUCAGCCACGUCAACAGCCAAUUACACACCUCAAGAAUCUCAGGAAGCCAGGGAGUGUGUAAAAGUUUCUAUAAUUAAUUGCUUUCCAUUCUCUUUAUCCACAAAUCUGUCAGCUCAUGGCUCUUCAAAAAUCAAGGAUGCUAGCUUCAGGUAUCUCUGCCCUCACCUUGUAUGGCCAGCAGCAUGAAGAUGGAAAUGCACAAUUUGUAACCACAUUAUUGAUUGCUAUAGUCCUAGGAUUAAAAGUGAUCCCUGACUGACAAGAAGCCAGUUGUUCAAUUCCUUCUAUUAUAGUGUAGGGUAGCGGUCACCCGUAAAGGCUAGAGUCACACAAGCUUGGGGAUCCCCCAGUACCUGCUGCCUGAUGCUGCUCACUAUUUUCCCUCUCUGAACCUCAGUUUCUUCAUCUACGAAGCAGAAAUAAUAGUGCCUGUCUUGUUGGGUGUUGGAAUGAUUAUAUUUGAUAGUGCAAGUAAAGCACCUGGCACAGUACAUUGUACACAGUAAAUGUCAAAGAAUGCCAGGUAUCAUCCCAAAUCUAUGAAUGCCCAGAAAGGUGCUGUUUGGUAUUGCCAUGUUCCUUACAUGACCCACAAAUUUCUACAUCUCAUAAUCAUACCUAUUUAGAAAAUAACUCUGUAUGUGGGGCUGCAGAUAUUCAUAGAUUUAAUUGCAAAUUUUAAAAGGCUAUUAUUGUUAUUAAGACUUUAAGUUACUUUGUCAAAUGGUGACUAUGGACCUCCUCAAAUGUACAAGAUAACUUCUUUUUUUUUUAAUUCUUUUUUUUUUUUUUUUUUUUUUGAGAUGGCAGGGGGGUUCUCACUAUGUUGCCUAGGCUGGUCUUGAACUCCUGGGCUCAAGCAAUCCUCCCACCUUGGCCUCCCAAAGUGCUGGGAUUACAGGCAUGAGCCACAGCACCCGGCCCAAAAUAAUUUCUUACAUUAGAAAUCCGGUGGGGCAUGGCUGCUCAUGCCUGUAAUCCCAAAACUUUGGGAGGCCAAGGUGGGAGAAUCACUUGAGCCCAGGAGUUCAAGACCAGCCUGCACAACAAAGUGAGAUCCUGUCUAUACAAAAAAUAAAAUAAUUAGCUGGGUAUGGUAGCACUCGCCUGUAGUCCCAGCUAUUUGGGAGGCUGAGGCGGGAGGAUCACUUGAGCCUGGGAGAUGAAGGCUGCAAUGAGCUAUAAUGGCACCACUGCACUCCAACCUGGGUAACAAAAUGAGACCCUGUCUCAAAAAAGAAAAAAUCCAUACAUUACUCAAAACUGGUAAAUACUGCUUUAUUCUAUAGCACUAUGCUUAAUGAAGCUUGAAACCAACUAACAUAACUUUUCCCCAUUUCUUUUUUUUUUUUUUUUUUUUUUUCAGGGAAACACAGAAUUGGUAAGGUGUUUUCCCUAAUGCAACAUUUAGGAAUAUGCUGGGCUGGACACAUAUUUCAUUCAAUCACUUCCAUUGUCUGUAUUCAUCCUCAGACAUCAAAUGACAAAAGUGUGCAAAAUAACAGUUGUUCCCCAUAAGAUUUCCAAAUAUUCAGCUAUGCUCCAUUUUCCAGGGCACAGAAUGGGCUACUGUAGUUAAGAAUUUUUCUAUCAUCUGAGAGUUCUAGUUAGUCUGUCUGUACAGGGUGAGUGACCAAAGUAGAAAACUGGUCAGGACAUGAAGUGAAGAGGGCUAAAAAGGCAAGAUGAGAAAAACAGAGUCGUGAAUUCUUCACCAGCCAAGACCUCACGAAAGGCUCGUGUGUCUGGGCUUCCAUCCCACCCGCUGAUAGAGGCAGUCCCCUCUCAGCCGCGGCGCUGCUUCUGUGGUUUCAGUUACCCGCAGCCCACCAAGAUCCAAAUAUAGCAAAUGAAAAAUUCCAGAAAUAGGCCGGGCGCAGUGGCUCAUGCCUGUAAUCCCAGCACUUUGGGAGGCCAAGUCGGGUGGAUCACCUGAGGUCAGGAGUUCAAGAGCAGCCUGGACAACAUGGUGAAACCCCGUCUCUACUAAAAAUACAAAAACUAGCCAGACGGAGAGGUGCAUGCCAGUAAUCCCAGCUACUUGGGAGGCUGAGGCAGGGGAACCGCUUGAACCCGGGACGCGGAGUUUGUAGUGAGCUGAAAUCGCACCACUGCACUCCAGCCUGGGUGACAGAGUUGUCUCAAAAAAAAAAGAAAAGAAAAGAAAGGAAAAAUUCCAGAAAUAAACAAUUGGUAAGUUUUCAACUGUGCGCCAUUCUGAUCUGGCAGUAUCCUGUACUGUCGCAACUGGGACCUGAAUCCUCCCUUUGUCCAGUGUAUUUAUACUGUAGACCAAGCUUGUCCAACCCACAGCCCAUGGGAUGCAUGCGGCCCAGGACGGCUCUGAAUGCAGCCCAAUGCAAAUUUGUAAACUUUCUUAACACAUUAUGAGGUUUUUUGUGAUUUUGUUUUAGCUUAUCAGCUGUCGUGUUAGUGUAUUUUAUGCGUGGCCCAAGACAAUUCUUCUUCCAAUAUGGCCCCGGGAAGCCAAAGAAUUGGACACCCCUGUAGACGCUUCCCGACUGUGAGUCACUUAGCAGCUGUCUUGGUUAUAAGAUCAACUGCUUCUGCUCAAGUAAUUUUUAUUUUACUUUACUACAGUACAUGGUCAUAAUCACUCUAUUUUAUUAUUAGUCAUUAAUCUCUUACUGUGCCUCAUUUAUAAACUUUAUCAUAUGUAUGUAUAAGAAAAAUGGUGUAUACAGGGCUCAGUUCUAUCUGAGGUUUCAGGCAUCCCCUGAGGAUAAAGGGGGAAUAUUGUAGGAAUAGCGUUGGUAUCUGUACUACUGGACUGGUUCAUAGGAGUUCACACACUGUGAAAUCAAGUGCAUUGUAGACACCAAAGCCCCAGACAAACUGGAGACAGUGCACUAAACCGACUGCUGGAGUCAGGCGUCUGCUCCCUCCUGUGCUGCUGCCCUGUGCCCCCCCCGGAUUGGCAUUGCCCUUGGUGUCUCAUUCCAGCUUAUGAAGGCUGUGCUUUGUCCUCGCCAUCACUUCCCCUUUUUCAACACAAGGACAUGUUUGCUAGCAUCUUAGCAUGACUGUGAAUAAACUACUCUUCCUUCUGCCGGGGCUCAAGCAAUGGGCCACACAUCACCAACUUCCUACGAUAUAUAGAAGACUUGAGAUUCAUUUAAAAAUUGACUACAGCGGGAGAGGAGGAUGAAUAGAUGGAGCACAGGGGAUUUUUAGGGAAGGGCAACUAUUCUGUGUGAUACUGUAAUGGGGGAUACAUGUAGUCAUACAUUUGUCCAAACCCACAGAAUGACAACACCAUGAACCCUAAACUAUGAACUUUGGAUAAUGAUGUGUGUCAAUGCAGGUUUAUCAACUGUAACAAGUGCACCAUUCUGGUGGGAAAUAUCGCUAAUGUGGAGGGGAAGCUAUGCCUGUCUAGGGGCAGGGGUUAUAAGGGAAAUCUCUGUACCUUCUGCUCAAUUUUGCUGUGAACCUGAAAGUGCCCUAAAAAAUAAAAUCUAUUAAAAAAAUUGGUCACACACACACAUUUGCUACUGAGAUGGGCUCCAACAAAUGUGAAAAUUUAAGAAAUCUACCUCUUUAUUUAACACCAAAGCUAACAUCAAGUGUUUAUUU